rnacentral:rRNA from 1 species
GACGAACGCUGGCGGCGUGCUUAACACAUGCAAGUCGAGCGGAGCGGCGAACGGGUGAGUAACGCGUGAGUAACUGCCCCCCUCUCUGGGAUAACAGUUGGAAACGGCUGCUAAUACCGGAUAGUGGGGGAUGACUCGCGUCCUAUCGGCUUGUUGGUGGGGUAGUGGCAUACCAAGGCGACGACGGGUAGCCGGCCUGAGAGGGCGACCGGCCACAAUGGGCUGAGAUACGGCCCAAAAGCCUACCGGAGGCAGCAGUGGUGAAUAUUGCACAAUCGGGGAAACCCUGAUGCAGCGACGCCGCGUGCGUGAUGCCGGCCUUCGGGUUGUAAACCUCUUUCAGCCAUGACGCGGUAGUGGCAGAAGAAGCACCGGCUAACUACGUGCCAGCCGCCGCGGUAAUAC